rnacentral:rRNA from 1 species
UGCAAGUCGAACGAUGAACCACCUUCGGGUGGGGAUUAGUGGCGAACGGGUGAGUAACACGUGGGCAAUCUGCCCUGCACUCUGGGACAAGCCCUGGAAACGGGGUCUAAUACCGGAUACUGAACCGCUUGGGCAUCCAGGCGGUUCGAAAGCUCCGGCGGUGCAGGAUGAGCCCGCGGCCUAUCAGCUUGUUGGUGAGGUAACGGCUCACCAAGGCGACGACGGGUAGCCGGCCUGAGAGGGCGACCGGCCACACUGGGACUGAGACACGGCCCAGACUCCUACGGGAGGCAGCAGUGGGGAAUAUUGCACAAUGGGCGAAAGCCUGAUGCAGCGACGCCGCGUGAGGGAUGACGGCCUUCGGGUUGUAAACCUCUUUC